ensembl:lncRNA
CAAGAGCCCUGUCCAAGUGCCGACUCUGCUGCAGUCCUGACAUCCUGUGCUGUGUAACCAAGACUCUUGCAUGCUUUGCAUUUUGCACAGCUGCCUGAAGUCAAGGUCUGGCUCCUUCUACAACCUGUGGAAAACACUUGGCAUAUUUUGUGUUGAACGUUCAUGCUGCUCUCAAAGCUUUACACAGCAGAGGGACAUGGAGUUUUGUGAAGAAAAAGCUGGCUGUCAUGCUGCAAACUCCACCAGAAAGGCUUUGGACAAGCAAACACUGACUGAGAAAAGGACUCCAACAUUAACACUUUCUGUGUCAGCACUUCUGGAGAGAGGACAAAAAGACAAACAGACUUCUUCAGAUAUAAUGAAGAAAACAGGAAAAUCUGUGUCAAUGUCUGCUGUGAAAAAUUCUCCAGGAAAGUUUGGACCACAAGCGGACAACAGAAAAAAAGAGUGACUGGUUGACAAGGACGUGUUAAGGCUUCCUUCUGACACGUUAUGGAGGAUCUUAAGCAACACAAUUUUUCAGCACCACUUCCCCCCGGAAUGUUACAGCUACCAAUAAAAUAAGCAAGCUGCAAUUCA